UGCAAGUCGAACGAUGAUCCCAGCUUGCUGGGGGAUUAGUGGCGAACGGGUGAGUAACACGUGAGUAACCUGCCCUUGACUCUGGGAUAAGCCUGGGAAACUGGGUCUAAUACCGGAUAUGACCGCUCUGACGCAUGUCAGGUGGUGGAAAGCUUUUGUGGUUUUGGAUGGACUCGCGGCCUAUCAGCUUGUUGGUGGGGUAAUGGCCUACCAAGGCGACAACGGGUAGCCGGCCUGAGAGGGUGACCGGCCACACUGGGACUGAGACACGGCCCAAACUCCUACGGGAGGCAGCAGUGGGGAAUAUUGCACAAUGGGCGCAAGCCUGAUGCAGCGACGCCGCGUGAGGGAUGACGGCCUUCGGGUUGUAAACCUCUUUCAGUAGGGAAGAAGCGAAAGUGACGGUACCUGCAAAAAAAGCGCCGGCUAACUACUGCCAGCAGCCGCGGUAAUACGUAGGGCGCAAGCGUUAUCCGGAAUUAUUGGGCGUAAAGAGCUCGUAGGCGGUUUGUCGCGUCUGCUGUGAAAAACCGGGGCUCAACUCCGGUUCUGCAGUGGGUACGGGCAGACUAAAGUGGAUGUAGGGGAGACUGGAAUUCCUGGU
rnacentral:rRNA from 1 species